CCAUAUCACUAGUUGCAUCCCGCCGCCUCCUCCGUGUCUGGCGUCGCCGCACCCUGGUGCUUGAUCCCAAUCCCGCCGCUGCCGCCCCACGCCUCCAGCGCCAUCUCCAUCUCCAUCCCCGUGGAGGGUCGGUCCCUUGCUGUCCAGCCACUCCCACGCCGCCUCCCUCUCAUCGAAGGGCGCCUCCCUCGUCGUCCAGCGCUGCCCCCUCGCCGUCCAGCGGCUCCAGUGCCGCCUCCAUCCCGAUUAACGGGCGCCUCCCUCGCCGUCCAGCCACCCAGCGCCGCCUCUCUCCCCGUUGACUGGGUCCUCUCUCGCCCUCCAGAUCUGCUUUCCUCGCCAUUCAAAUCCGAUUCCCAUGCCGGCCAGCCGCCUCACCCUUCUGUCUCCCUCCUAGUCCAGCUUCUCCCACUGCCAAGUCAACUCUUGGCGAACUGCAACCGACCUGGGGAGAGGAAGACCCAAAAAACGUAGCAGCAUGCACUUUUUUUCAUUAUUGGUGUCUGAAUCCUAGCAGAGAGUUCAGCAGUAGCCACAAUGGUCUUUGUUUUAGUUAGAUCUGUCCUAAUAACACACCUGGUACUGUAUUUGACUAACUUGAAGUUGACAUAUUGUGUUUAUUUUCAGAAAUCCGAGGGAAACAUAAAUUGGAAACUAGAGGAGUUAUGGGCAACUUUACUAGUCUGAAUCCCUAGUUGAGAGUUCAGCGGUAGCCGCAAUGGUAUAUUUUUCUUUAUAGUCUAUAAGAUUAAUAGAAUAUAUGCACGAUUUGGAAUGGCCGACAUUGUAGGAUAAAUUAGUACUGUAUUAGUUUUGAGGCUCCCUUCUUAUAUUCUGGUAUUGUGGGCAAUCGUGAUUUUGGCAUGCUCACUGGAAUCAAGUGAGGUGAGAAUAUCGAUCUUCCAGACACCUAUUUCUUCUUGUGAAUUUAGAAAAGGGAGGUUGAGACAUCAUCUCCAUUUCCCUAUUUCUCUAAUCUAUAGGGCAGUGAGAUAACGAUGAAUGCGACAGCGAGAAAUGAUGGUUCUCCAAAUCUUCCUUUCUGUGGUAUCUUCUAAGGCAUCCCUGAUAUGUCUCUUUUUGGUUCUUAAUUUUUUUUGCUAUGAAUAGUUCAUCUCCUAAAUAUAUCUUAAUUGUGUUUGUCUCUAGGAGCGUGACAUCGUAACCCAGACUAGUUCUUUCCAGAUUUAGAUAUUUAGCUCGACAUUAAAAUCGCAACUUCGUGAGAUUCUAAACCUGAAGGGAGAGCACUACGUAGCGUUCCUAUUUGAUAUCUCUCUUUUUCAUAUCUCAUGGGAUAGCUACACCCAUGCCAGUGCUAAAUGCUUAUUACUUGGUUGCACUGCUGAAAUUGAGCUGAAUUACACUUCUACAACUUUGUAGCUAUAUGUGAGCCUCCCACUAAUUUUUUGACAGUUGCUUAGUUAGGUACACUCAUUCAUGGUUUUUUAUUACAGUUUCUUAGCAUACAUGAUAUGCUUACCAACAGGUUCUUGUACUACUAUCUUCGAACAUUUCAAAGCUUAAGACAUGGCAAACUGAUGAGUUGGACAACUUUAUGAUGCUAUCACCAAUUCAUUUUAAGCAUACAUAUAUAGCAGUUCUUAAUUCUUGGUGAUCAAAAUGCGCAUGAUUUAAGGUUCCAAACCUGUUGUUUGAUGUUACUGGUAUUAUGUUUGGUCAAUGGCAUACCUUCUGGGAGUUCUUCUUUGCAACUUUGAUUGGGAAGACCAGCAUCAAGACUCGUAUUCAGGUGGAUGGAUCUUCCCAAGCCUAAGAGCAUGCUGGUACUCUGUUUGGCAGCUUCUUCCCAUGCCAAGAAGACCAUGGUGCUACUUCGGCCAAGGAGAAUCAUUUAGGAAUGUAUUUUCUGACUGUUCAGCUUCGUUUGUCUUUUGGAGGGGCUAAAUGGAGCAGCUCUUGUUCUUUUUAAUUUUUUGGUAACCAUGAGUUGGAAUAUCAUUUUGUGAACAAUUCAAGAUAUUACAAUGAAUGUGGUCUUAUUUACUCAG